UACAGAGGUCCCAAGCGUUGUUCGGAUUCACUGGGCGUAAAGGGUGCGUAGGUGGUGGGGUAAGUUUGAGGUGAAAGCUCCGGGCUCAACCCGGAAAUUGCCUUGAAGACUAUCCCGCUAGAGGAUCGGAGGGGAGACUGGAAUUCUCGGUGUAGCAGUGAAAUGCGUAGAUAUCGAGAGGAACACCAGUGGCGAAGGCGAGUCUCUGGACGAUACCUGACACUGAGGCACGAAAGCCAGGGGAGCAAACGGG
rnacentral:rRNA from 1 species